GGGAAGUUGGCGCAAGUGGUUAGCGCAGGAAUCUUAUACAUUCAAGGUUGGGGGUUCAAGUCCCUCACUUCCUA
rnacentral:tRNA from 1 species